AUUGGCGAUUGGUCGUUCCCUUUUUGCAAGAUGCCUCCAAUGCAAACUUGUGGGACAAGAUUCGAUUCCGUUUUUU
rnacentral:sRNA from 1 species